UACGUAGGGGGCUAGCGUUGUCCGGAAUCAUUGGGCGUAAAACGCGCGCUGUGAGCGGCCCUGUUAGUCCGCUGUAAAAGUCAAAGGCUCAACCUUUGAAUGCCGGUGGAUACUGCAGGGCUAGAGUCCGGAAGAGGCGAGUGGAAUUCCUGGUGUAGCGGUGGAAUGCGCAGAUAUCAGGAGGAACACCAACGGCGAAGGCAGCUCGCUGGGACGGUACUGACGCUGAGGCGCGAAAGCGUGGGGAGCGAACAGG
rnacentral:rRNA from 1 species